rnacentral:rRNA from 1 species
UUUAUGGAGAGUUUGAUCCUGGCUCAGGAUGAACGCUGGCGGCGUGCCUAAUACAUGCAAGUCGAGCGAACGGACGAGAAGCUUGCUUCUCUGAUGUUAGCGGCGGACGGGUGAGUAACACGUGGAUAACCUACCUAUAAGACUGGGAUAACUUCGGGAAACCGGAGCUAAUACCGGAUAAUAUUUUGAACCGCAUGGUUCAAAAGUGAAAGACGGUCUUGCUGUCACUUAUAGAUGGAUCCGCGCUGCAUUAGCUAGUUGGUAAGGUAACGGCUUACCAAGGCAACGAUGCAUAGCCGACCUGAGAGGGUGAUCGGCCACACUGGAACUGAGACACGGUCCAGACUCCUACGGGAGGCAGCAGUAGGGAAUCUUCCGCAAUGGGCGAAAGCCUGACGGAGCAACGCCGCGUGAGUGAUGAAGGUCUUCGGAUCGUAAAACUCUGUUAUUAGGGAAGAACAUAUGUGUAAGUAACUGUGCACAUCUUGACGGUACCUAAUCAGAAAGCCACGGCUAACUACGUGCCAGCAGCCGCGGUAAUACGUAGGUGGCAAGCGUUAUCCGGAAUUAUUGGGCGUAAAGCGCGCGUAGGCGGUUUUUUAAGUCUGAUGUGAAAGCCCACGGCUCAACCGUGGAGGGUCAUUGGAAACUGGAAAACUUGAGUGCAGAAGAGGAAAGUGGAAUUCCAUGUGUAGCGGUGAAAUGCGCAGAGAUAUGGAGGAACACCAGUGGCGAAGGCGACUUUCUGGUCUGUAACUGACGCUGAUGUGCGAAAGCGUGGGGAUCAAACAGGAUUAGAUACCCUGGUAGUCCACGCCGUAAACGAUGAGUGCUAAGUGUUAGGGGGUUUCCGCCCUUAGUGCUGCAGCUAACGCAUUAAGCACUCCGCCUGGGGAGUACGACCGCAAGGUUGAAACUCAAAGGAAUUGACGGGGACCCGCACAAGCGGUGGAGCAUGUGGUUUAAUUCGAAGCAACGCGAAGAACCUUACCAAAUCUUGACAUCCUUUGACAACUCUAGAGAUAGAGCCUUCCUCUUCGGGGACAAAGUGACAGGUGGUGCAUGGUUGUCGUCAGCUCGUGUCGUGAGAUGUUGGGUUAAGUCCCGCAACGAGCGCAACCCUUAAGCUUAGUUGCCAUCAUUAAGUUGGGCACUCUAAGUUGACUGCCGGUGACAAACCGGAGGAAGGUGGGGAUGACGUCAAAUCAUCAUGCCCCUUAUGAUUUGGGCUACACACGUGCUACAAUGGACAAUACAAAGGGCAGCGAAACCGCGAGGUCAAGCAAAUCCCAUAAAGUUGUUCUCAGUUCGGAUUGUAGUCUGCAACUCGACUACAUGAAGCUGGAAUCGCUAGUAAUCGUAGAUCAGCAUGCUACGGUGAAUACGUUCCCGGGUCUUGUACACACCGCCCGUCACACCACGAGAGUUUGUAACACCCGAAGCCGGUGGAGUAACCUUUUAGGAGCUAGCCGUCGAAGGUGGGACAAAUGAUUGGGGUGAAGUCGUAACAAGGUAGCCGUAUCGGAAGGUGCGGCUGGAUCACCUCCUUUCU